UACGUAGGGUGCAAGCGUUGUCCGGAAUUAUUGGGCGUAAAGGGCUCGUAGGCGGUUUGUCGCGUCGGGAGUGAAAACCAGGUGCUUAACACCUGGCUUGCUUUCGAUACGGGCAGACUAGAGGUAUUCAGGGGAGAACGGAAUUCCUGGUGUAGCGGUGAAAUGCGCAGAUAUCGGAAGGAACAUCAGUGGCGAAAGCGACUUCCUGGACCAAUACUGACGCUCAUGUGCGAAAGCGUGGGGAGCAAACAGG
rnacentral:rRNA from 1 species